AACGCUAGCUACAGGCUUAACACAUGCAAGUCGAGGGGCAGCAUUACGGUAGCUUGCUACUGUAGAUGGCGACCGGCGCACGGGUGAGUAACGCGUAUCCAACCUGCCCAUGACUUGGGGAUAACCUUGCGAAAGCAAGCCUAAUACCCGAUACGCUUCAUAGACGGCAUCUGAAAUGAAGUAAAGGUUUACGGUUAUGGAUGGGGAUGCGUCCGAUUAGCUUGUUGGCGGGGUAACGGCCCACCAAGGCAUCGAUCGGUAGGGGUUCUGAGAGGAAGGUCCCCCACAUUGGAACUGAGACACGGUCCAAACUCCUACGGGAGGCAGCAGUGAGGAAUAUUGGUCAAUGGAGGCAACUCUGAACCAGCCAAGUAGCGUGCAGGAUGACGGCCCUAUGGGUUGUAAACUGCUUUUAUGCGGGGAUAAAUUGACUCACGUGUGGGUCAUUGCAGGUACCGCAUGAAUAAGGACCGGCUAAUUCCGUGCCAGCAGCCGCGGUAAUACGGAAGGUCCGGGCGUUAUCCGGAUUUAUUGGGUUUAAAGGGAGCGUAGGCCGUUGUUUAAGCGUGUUGUGAAAUGUCCCGGCUCAACCGUGGCACUGCAGCGCGAACUGGACGACUUGAGUGCGCGGAACGUAUGCGGAAUUUGUGGUGUAGCGGUGAAAUGCUUAGAUAUCACGAAGAACUCCGAUUG
rnacentral:rRNA from 1 species